rnacentral:rRNA from 1 species
UACGUAGGGAGCAAGCGUUGUCCGGAAUCAUUGGGCGUAAAGCGCGCGUAGGCGGCCCCGUAAGUCCGCUGUGAAAGUCAUAGGCUCAACCUUUGAAAGCCGGUGGAUACUGUGGGGCUAGAGUACGGAAGAGGCGAGUGGAAUUCCUGGUGUAGCGGUGGAAUGCGCAGAUAUCAGGAGGAACACCAAUAGCGAAGGCAGCUCGCUGGGACGUCACUGACGCUGAGGCGCGAAAGCGUGGGGAGCGAACAGG